rnacentral:lncRNA from 1 species
AUAUUUUAUCAUGUUGGGUUCUGAUAUAUAAUUAUGGUUCUGAACCACGCUUAUUCAUCUACUUCUAUCUUUUUUUUUUUUGACCGGUAAAAAUGAAAUUCAUAGAUCAAAAGAAUGUACAAAAAUUCAAGGGCAAGCCCAAGAGACAAACCAAAGGCCAAGGCAAACAAGGCACAACCUUACUCUAAAUCAUAGCCAAAACAAGGAGGCCAAAAGGGAAUAAAUCAAGAAGACUGAGCUGCCUAGAAAUAGCUCAACUCAGCCCCUAUCAUACAGCUUAUACACUAGAAAAAUCUAGGUGCAAAUAGUUUAAUACUCGGUAAGCAGAAACUUGAAUUUUCCUGAUUACUGCCUCUGGAGCUUGCACUUUCCCUUCAAAAGUUUUGAGAUUCCUUGCUUACUAUAAAAAAUAGGUGGUGCAGGCUAUGCUCAACCUUUUUGCUUUGGACUGAAUUCCUGUACCUCUGGCUUCCUUUAUAGCCCAUUUCACUGCUGCUUUUAAAGUUGAAAGAGAUCUGCGGAAGCCCAGCCAACUUUUAAUUGAGUUUCAUGCCUGUCGAACAAAUGCUCUGCUAUUUCAUUCUCAGCUCUACACAGCAAGCAAGUCUGA